UCCCCACUUGUGAGAAACGGAAAUCGCACUAGAGUAACUGGGACAACAUCCCGGCAUCAGCUCCGCUGGCAAGUGCUCUGCCCCCACGAUCUGGGAAUCAGCAGGCGCCUUCCAGGCAGACCCUCACCCACUUCCGUUCCUGCCACCCCGCAAAAGCAGGGGCUGGAGGAGAGAAUCCCCGUAACCCUCACCCAAAAACCAACCCCUCUCCCCAAGUGCCUUGUCUCCCUGGGAGCUGGCAGAGGCCCAAGUGCCGGUGCAUCAGACACACGCACAGAGCCACAAAUGUUAACAGGAUCGUGAGAAAUGUACGCAUUCUAGAGGAAAUUAACCAUUUCUCACCCCAGCCUUUAACCACGAGAACUACUCCUGUCCACUGUAAGGCUGGGUGGCACACUUCAGAACAGAGGACAGUCAGAGGCUGGCAGUUGGAUCCAAAUAAUCACUUUCUCGACAGUACGGCACAAGACAACAAUACUACGCCACAUUUGGAAGGUUUCUUUACAAUCACAAGAGGUAGGAGUGCUAGUGCAAUCCUGGCAUACAACAGCCCUUGUCAUGUAAAGCUAUAAUACAAUCACAGGUUUUUGCAUCAUUUCAAACACCAUUGUAAAUGUAUCACCUCCACCACCAUAUCCCUAACUACAACAUUCCUGAUGUAAAAGGUUGUAUUUGAGAGUUAUUAGUGGUCUACAGAAAAAAAAGAUACUUACUAUUCUGCUCCUCACCAAGGGCAACCAAUGUUUCAAGGACUUUAAUUCCUUCCUGGACUGCUAAAAGCUCUGUGUUGCUGUUUGGACGAUUACUUUCUACAGCUUUCAGUUUCUCAACCAUUAUUGGUGCCAAUGAAUGGAUGUAUGGAGUUGACAGGGCACGGUUGGUGUGUUGGAAUACAGAAAGUAGAAGCUGAUAACACUUGGCUUGAACCUAAUCAAGAUAAGUACAUUUUAUUGAUUUGUAUAUUAGCUUGGCGGUCGGCAAUACAAUCCAUCAUAUAUUUGUGUGAAUAUAAAAAGGCUUGGAGGAAAUAAAGGAAAAAGACCACUGAAAUUGGCGGAAAACAGCAAAAGACUAACAGCUGGCUCAGCUGCUAAAAAUACUGUUACUCAGUUUUCAAUACAAGAAAAAGGAGUGCAACUAGGAACAAAUGCAGGAAACAAGAGAGCAAUGAUUAAGUGAAACUAGCUAAGAUAGGAAAGUUAAAUAAUAGUUAACAACAUACUAAUCAGCCAUAUGGGAUGCAUUCUAGAGUCCACAGGGAGCUGGCUCCAUAAAUAACAACUACUAGCAAUAACACUGGAUGUAUCUGAGGAGUCAUUUGAAGCUCCCUUCCAAUUCCACAAAGGCAAAGGGGUCCCCACAGCCUAAAAAAAGUAUUAGAGUAGAUUAAAGUAAUUACAAAACAUAGGUCAUGGAAAACUAAGUUGAUGUUCUUUAUAUUCUAAAAUGGUGUCACUAAGGAGAACUCAGUGAAUGUAUUUAUUUGGCAUUUAAAAGGGAUUUUUCCAAAAUACUACAUAGGAAUCUUAGACAAAUUGGAGAGAUAUGGCCUUGAAUACCAUAUGAUAAUCCAAAAAGCAGGCUACAAAGUUGGACAUAUUUAUAACACCAUAUAGGGUGAGUUAUCAAGCAGGGUCCCACAGGGACUUUGAGCAGUAUUAUUCAAUGUAUUAAUGACCUGUGAGAAGAUCAAUCUGACACUGAUCACAUUUUGGGGUGCAGAAAACUUGGAAGUAUAGAUAAGAUUAAAAAUUAAAAUUAUAGAUUGUAGAUUCAUAGAAAGUAAGGAUGAAAAAGACCUAUUAGGUUACCUGGUUUAUCUUGCUAUCUAUGCAGGAUUAAUUCCUUGCAACGGAUUUGAUAGUGCUCUGUAUAAUUUUGAUUUGGAGGCCCCCAAUGUGUUGGAGCUUCCUCAACUUCCAUUUGGAUGCUGUCUAAAAUUUCCCUCUCAGGACAUUUUUCCUGAUAUUCAGCCUAAAUUCUGGAACCACUUUCAACUGGUUACUUCAAUUUGUACUCCCAUACCACUAUAAAUAAUAUUCUUCUAUCCUUGUUGUUUCGACUCUUCAAAUUCUUGAAGUGACUUACCACACACCCUUUCAUUAGCUUUUGUUUAAACUGCACAUAUUUAAGAACAAAAUCUUCACAUUUGCAGGUAGAAGCUUUCAUAGACGUCAGCAGGACUCCAUGCUAGCUUUUGAUAGCAGAAUUUGGUCCAUAGUUCUUUUAAUGUGUUCUCAAAUGUAGAAUUUUUGCUGGUCCUACACUCACUGAAGUCAAUGACAUAGCUUCCAUUAACUCUAAUGGUGCAGGAUCAGGGCCUGAAUCCAUUCUGGAGUCUGUAGAGCUCUUUCUGAGAUUAAAGGUUCCCAGAAUGGAAUGAAGGGACAAAGGCUUCUUAGCUGAGAGCUCUUGAUUCUGCAAUUCACUUCUGUUUGUCCAACAAAGCCUGAGUUUCCUAACUGAAGGGUAUAAUAUAAAGCAUAACUAUCCAUUCAGGCUUUUGCCUGAGACUGUUGUUUCAAUGGUGGAGCACUAGCCUUUGGUGGUACAAGUGUUUUUAAAGAAUUCUCUAUUUUAUAUCAUUUCAGCGUAUUUUUAAAUCUAUGUCCAUUUAUCAUUAACGUGUGCCCACCUAGGGGCUGCUGUAGUUGUCAUUUUAUAUAUUGAAAAAAUAAAGUAAAUAAUACAAUGCAAUCUAGAGUAUAUUUCCCUUGUGUACAUACAAAACAAAACACGGACACAGUAUGGCUGAUAUUACGCUGCUCUCUGUUGUUACCAAAACUGUGCUGGGAGAGGGUUCAUUACUGGCUAGAUGAGAAAGGCAGAGAACUUCCUUAAAAACAGAGGAGAGAAAUGAACUUCUCCUGUUGUCAGUCUCUGUACAGAGCUAAAUAGGGAUAGAUGUAAAGGCUCCUUCUCAGCACACUAGACACUCCCCUCUCCAUUGUCUCUAUCAGGAGCUCCUGUAUGUGUGACUAUUGAACUGGAAGAAGAGACAUGGUCUCAAACUGUUUCCCACCUUAAGAACUCCAGCAAGUCAAACUUUUGUAAACUGCUGAACAGUGACAGAGCAUAAGACCCCAGUUCAAUCUGGAAACAGAUGACUCCACUGCAGAGAAAGUGGACUAGAGUUCUAAAUGCCUAAAUACGGCAUGCUUUUUCUUUAUAUUUUUCUCCUCAGGAAAUCUCUGAGUGCCUGUGCGGGGGAAACAUUAUAUAGAAAACCUACAGGAAAACCCCAAGAGCAGUAGAGAAAAUAGAGGAAGAAGUUUAGACCUACAUCAAGAAAUCAAGUUUGGAGAUAACAAUUCAUCUAUAUAUCUGGAUUGGGGGAGGGAGAGGGGGAGCAAAGAACUGGCCUAUAUAAGGCAGUUCUUUCUUUGUCAUGGACAGAAUUUUCUCCUCCGGCGCCCACUCCCCUAAAGAAGGAGCACAGGGAAAGCAGUUCUCUUUUAGAUAUCUUGUCAUUACUCAGAGAGCCUGGAAAAGGGACACUAUAACACGGUAAGUUACCACUGCCAACCUUUAACCUUUAUAACCAAUACUAGUCAGCUCAGUGCAGCCCUGGCUUAGGUAAGAGAAGAAUUGAUGAUGAUUUUCUUUAUAUCAUCUCCCUUUACUUUCUCUAGUCUCUCUCUCUUCAUUGUUCCUUUCAAGCAAACAGUAUUCAGUUUAAGUGCAACUGUAAAUUGGAUGUGACAGAUAAUAUUGUGUGAAUUACUGAUUGUGUCUCUCUGGUGAUGAGAAAAGCUCUACCUGUGGGGGAGGAAGAGCAAACAGGUGGAGUCCAUCGAACAAGAAGUACAGUGUCACAAAAAGGCCAUGGGGAGGCUUCAGUCCCUAAGCCAACAGUUUCUCCAGCUGGUGAACAGGUAUCUGUACUGGCAUAAAGUGAGUUCUCUGACUUUGGGACUACAAGACUUUCUGUUACACAUGAGUUUGAGAAACACUCUUUCACCUAAAAUUACACUUUGUAAGCUCCUAUCUGCACAUCUGUAUAAUUGCUCCAACGAACUGAUUUCUACAUGGCAAUUAUGUUUCACUUCAUGCUAACUGAGCACGUCUCAGCCAAGUCAGGCUACAAUUUAUCGCUUUUGCAAUGGACUAGUUGAAAAGACAAUUUAAAGAGAAGACAAAACAAAAAGCAUAAAUGAAUUUGCAACAAAUAAGUAACAAUUUUCAGAGGGCCUCUGAAAUGAUAUGCACAUGCAAAUCAGAUAACUGCAUCCCUGAAUUGCACACUCAAAAUGGGUUUUCAUAGAAUCAUAGGGUUGGAAGAGACCUCAGGAGGUCACCUAGUCCAACUCCCUGCUCAAAGCAGGACCAAUCCCCAAUUUUUGCUCCAGAUCCCUAAAUGGCCCCCUCAAGGAUUGAACUCACAACCCUGGGUUUAGCAGGCCAAUGCUCAAACCACUGAGCUCUCCCCCAUGUAAGUAACAUAAACACAAAUUUUGUACAUAUAUAAAUAGGAGAAUCACUGCAAAUUUGGGCCUUAAUCUUUAUCUAUGGAAACAGGAGUUUGAGUAGCAUUAUGAGGAAGUAGUAUUAAAUAAACCAGAGAAGGUCUAGAUUUUUUUGGCCCAGUGGUCUUUUCCUUCCUAAAAUUUCUUAUAUUAACAAAGAUGUAUCUUUUAUAAAUCUAUAUAAAUCAAGAAUUUGGCACAAGUAACUUGAAAAUCCUACUUCAAAAGUGCCAAGUUUUGUUAUAAUUGCCAUUGAUGCAAUAGUUGUGAUGGUUAAUUUGACAAGCAGGAUCUGGUUACUUUUUGAAGUGAAGAAAUUAUAGAUUUCAGAAAAUGUAACAUUAUUUCUAGUUACUUUAUGUCAACCAUUUAAAAUAUCGUGCACGCUCCCACAUGAUGAGCUUACCCAAGGAUCGCAGGAAUUCAAUGCAUUUUUAAAUCUGUUAAUGCAGCCGUUCUGUAAGGACAGCACUCCAAUUAUUUCUGUACUUGCAGACCAAAGGAAGAGAGCAAUCGCUGUAAGCAUGCUUACUUCAUCAAGAAUAGACUUAGUGCCAUCUGAAAAACAAAAAGAAAAGGCUGAGCUUAUUGUGAAAAGGUUUUAGAGUUUGUUUAGUAAAUCCUAGUGUACUAGGAUAAUUCACAACAAAGGGAUGUACUUGAAAAGACUUCAGUUACACUCAAAUACCUGCCUAUUCACCACUAACAGAGUCACAUUUUAACUAUUAGUGGUAGUGACUGAUAUAGUGGAGGUUGUUUAAGAUGAUUAACUCUAGUCUAAUCCUCUCUUUUAAACUGCUUAAAACUUCCUGAAAUUUCCACCUAUGCAGCCAAAAUUAUUCAUGCUUGGUCUCUGACCACAGAUAUAUUUUUAUUGUUUUUAAAGUUUAAGCAAAUACAACUAUGCUAUAUUUGAGCAGAAAGAUGGUAGAAAAAACAUUAUACUGUCCCCAUUACAACCAAGUCUCUUGCAAACCCUUUCAAAACAGCCUCUGCAGCUGAAAUGGUUGGGAUGUAGAAACCUAAAAUCUAGUAUGGGAGUAGCCUGCACUAAGGAGAAGGGUUCUUGAGUGUUCUGCUGAAAAUCCGUUAUGAUUUGACAGUGUUAAUAAGCCUGUUAAAAUCACACCGUCCACUUUGCUAAACUGGUGAAGUGUACAACUUCAUUCUGUCCUGAAAAGUGAAUUGAAGGCAUUCAAACCCUUGCCUCAGGGCAUGCACCUUGCAAGGAGUUAAAUGAAAUCUCCUAAAGUCCACAGAAGGUCUACAAUAAGCGUCAGUGAUGCUUGUGGAAAUGGGGGCUCAAAGGCCCUUGAGCCAAGGUGAAGUUGGGAGAGAUAAAUUUGAUGAGACGUAAUUAAAGAGGCCACUGAAAAUUAAUAUGGGUUUGGCCUGGAAAACUUAAUCCAAUUAUUGUUUCUGCUCAACGAUCCUAAAGGAUGGCAUUGUAUAAUUACUCUUUUGUUCCUUCCGAUUUCACGACCACUUCUGCCAACUCUUCCCACUCCGCUCUCCUGUUCAAUCUAUAUUUCAGGCUAUUUGGGGGUGUAGUGAGAUAGUUUUGGCCGAGAUAAUCGCGGGCAGAGAAGACGCUUGGAUCAGAGGAAGCUGGUUGAAGUCAGUGCAGACAAGAUGGAGAUGCUGCUGUAAUCUUGAGCUGCUCUCACUAUCUGCUGGACAACUCCUGUAACUAGCAGCUGGACUGAAGGAGGAUCCCAG